rnacentral:lncRNA from 1 species
GUGGUUCUUCACUAUCACAGAGCUGUUUUUCACAGAUUUUGCAUAUUGAAAAUAUAAAAAUCGGGGCUGGGAUUGUGACUCAACGAUAGAGUGCUCACCUAGCACAUGUGAGGCACUGGGUUCGAUCCUCAGCAUCACAUAAAAAUAAAAAAUAAAAUAAAGAUAUUGUGUCCAACUACAACUAAAAAAUAAAUAUUUUUUAAAAGAAAAUAUAAAAAUCUGUUGAAGGAGGAGAAUUUUUCUUCUGUGCAGUUUCUUUCCUGAAUUCAGUCCAUUACUGUAAUAUAAUAUUUAUAAACUACUGGCAGUUUGCCCCCAGUAAAGCUAGUACAAGAUAUUCACAGGUGUAUCUUAGUGCAAAAAAAUUAAAAUAACAAUUGUUUUCUUUGUAUGAUGUUAUUUCUGCUAGCAUUAGAGUAACCCAUUUGUUUGUUCUUAUUCCUUCUUAUCUACCCAUCUUCAUGUCAUGAUAUUUAGCAGUAUAGUUGGAUAAUUUCUAGAAAUAUGUACAAUCUCUACAUGAUUCUAGAACCAAAUGUUAAAUUGUGGUGUUUAUGAGUGUGAUACAGAAAUUCAUAGAUGAGAAAGAUUAAUGUGAACUAAAAUAGAAAUGAUAUCUUGAAGAACACUGACGUGGAAUUGGAUCCUUUGUAGACACAGCUGGGCAUAUCUGUCUCAGGGAAAUGUGGCCAGGUGUCCAUUGGCCCUUCAACUCAAUAUCACCUGUUGAGAAAGUUUCAAGGUUCCCUGUUGGCUUGUUUAUCCCCACAAAAAUUUCAACAGAACUGAGCAUAAAACUAAUGUAUGACUAAUACAUGAAUUAAAAAUUAAUUAAUAAAAUAUAUAAGCUAUAAAUUAUAUGUGUAUAUUAUACCGUAACAUAAAAAGCUAGGUUGAUUUUGUGACAUGACUAAAGAAUAACAGAACUUAUUUUGCAUGUACCAGAGCUUCUACCCCAAAGUGAGUGGUGUUCAUCUUCCCAUUCCAUUAUGGGAACCUGUAUACUCUUCUCUGUAACACUGCUAUUUCUCAAAAUAUCUUUGGAACUCCUCCUCUGAAUUUCCUUCAGAGGCUGACUCAUUCUUUUCAGUAUCCUCAGAAUCUUUUUCAGCUAAGAGUAGAUUUGAAUUUAGUAAGGAGAAGUCACAUAGGGCCAGGUAUGGUGAGUAAAUCAGAGAAUCGGCUGAGAAAUGCUAUUUUUGGUAACUAUAAGUAAUGAGAGUGUUUUCUAGUUUGACUCAUAAAAUAACCAAAAAUAGUUAUCAUCAUAAAACAAAAGGUAAGUUGGAAGUUUAUCAUUUUAAAGUCUAGUCUGAUUGCUCUUAUAAUUUUCUGGCCCCAGAAUUGGUCAUUGUUCCCCAGAAUCCUGACCUGUUUUAUCUGACCUCACAGCCCCAUGAAACCUGUCUAUUUUUCUUUCCACAUUCCCACUACAGAUUCAUCUUCUGACCCUCUUGUUCUCUGGCAGAGCCUCCUCCUUAGGGCCCUGUGCACUACCCAGAGGUACCUUCCCUUUCAAGAACUAGUCCAGUUCCUACUCCUGGAAGGGAAUCUUUUCACUUCCUAAGUUCCACUAAAUUUAUAGUGAGGCUCCUUUCUUUUUGAGGAAAGGCCUAUUCAAAAAAAUGGUUGCUAUCCCCAGGAAAAUACAUCCAUGUUGAAGAAUUUUUCCCCUGAGAAGCUUGUUCAUAAACUUCUCACUAUCAUUUCCACCAUGCAUAUUUGGGGCUUUGAUGUUUGGGGUCUUGGAAUCAGUCUUUACCCUUCCAACUAACCUCCAAGUUUCUUAUUGGUAAGGAAAUAGUACUCCUUUUCUUUCUUUACUGUAUACACAAAAAUGCUGAGUAUAUAAUGAUUGCAUUCUGAAAAUUUGGGGGGGGGUUUAAAAGGUUUUUAUGUUGUUGUUGUUUUUUAAUCUACCUGCCUGCUACCAUUGCUAUCACAUUUGGUUUUUAUAAGAGACAGAGUUUUAAUUUUUUUUGUUGUUUAUAAGAUAAAAGCUCAGUGUGUUAGGUUACAUAUCACAGGACAUCCUUUAAGCCCCAGAUGAUAUCCCUAAAAUGUGUUUCUCAGGAGAUAAUCCAUAUCUUCCUGUUUUGACAUAUAAAUAAAUACUGUGAAGCUUAGAUGCCAUAGAUCCUGUUAUAUAGCAGAGCAGAUUUUAUCCCCUUUACACAUGACACGAGGACUCUCUCCUGCUGUUACACAGGAAACCAGUAAAGUAUAUGCUAUUGUCAUCUCCUGAAGCCAACAUAAUCAAACUGUAAUGUAUACAGUGAAAAUUCAACAGGCACUUCAUUUUCAGAUUGGCCAAAC